rnacentral:rRNA from 1 species
AUACGGAGGGUGCGAGCGUUAAUCGGAAUUACUGGGCGUAAAGGGUUCGUAGGCGGUUAUUUAAGUCAGAUGUGAAAGCCCCGGGCUCAACCUGGGAAUUGCAUCUGAUACUGGGUAACUAGAGUUUAAGAGAGGAGUGUGGAAUUUCCGGUGUAGCGGUGAAAUGCAUAGAGAUCGGAAGGAACAUCAGUGGCGAAGGCGGCACUCUGGCUUAAAACUGACGCUGAGGAACGAAAGCGUGGGUAGCAAACAGGAUUAGAUACCCUAGUAGUCC